GGCGGCCGUCAGGGGCGGUGCCCCGGGGGCGGGGCUGUGCCCGGCUACCAAUAAGGCAGCGCCUCCUGGAGGCGGGGCUCCCGGAGGCAGGGCAUCAACUGAAUGCCAAAGGAGCCCAGCCUUCUGGGGGCGGUGCUUCAGGCUUUAGGAGCCGGACGAGAGAUGGAGUUACCCGAGCUGGGGUUGACGUUGGAACUAAGACGGAAGCAGGGGCCAAACUGAGGGGUGAUACUGGUUUGGGAGCCAGGUUUGAGAUUGGGACUGGAGUUGUUCUUACCGGGAGUGUUCUGGCUCAGGAUUGCGGCUGAGUGUCACCACCAGGCUCGGAUCCGUCACUCGGCAGGGAAUUGUGAUCUCAGAUAUUUCCGUGAGAAAGAUGAACAGGUCCUCGGGGAAGACCGGAAGAAAGCCCAUAGUCGGAUCUGCCAGGGGCUUCUGGGACAUCCGUUCCCACACCACCGGAGCUGCACCCGAACAGGUCAGAACGAAGGUGCUGGAGAUAUUGAGGACAAGCUCUGGCUCCGGAGGUGUGAUGACCAGGCCCCAGGAGGCCUGUGGUCCCAGCAGCAACAGCAGGGGCAGCAACAGCACCUGGCCUUUGGGAGAAAAGGCAUCGGAUGUCAGGGCACAGGCGCGUCAGCACCUCCCCCCGCGGCUGACCCUGGAGGAGACCAUAUCUGCACAGUCCUUGAAGAACACACCUCCCUAAUCCAACAGAGACUGGAACCCGUGCCUCUGAAGCCUGCUUGUCAAGUGCCUGGUCCCCAGGGACUCCUUCUAGCCUCCUGGCCUCCUGAUCUUAGUGUCUCUCCAUCCUAAGCCUCAGAGUCCUUCAGCUAUGCUGUGUGCAGGCUGUGGGCAUGUUCUCCCGAAAGCCUCAGGAAAUCCUCGGGAAGCAAUUCCCAGGCCUCCAGUUCCUGCAUUACUUCCCAGUUUCAGCGCUCCACCUCUACACGAUGACUCCCCCCACAAGCCUCAGGAUCACAUCAAGGCCAGAGAGGGUGAACAACCUGGCCCAAAUCACACAGUGAUGCAGCUUGGUCAUCCAGGCUCUACUCUGCCACGCUGCUUCUAGACCCAGAGGACCUUCAAUGUUUUCAGGUACCUAUGAGGUCCCCCAAACAAAGCAGCAGCAGUCGGCUCAGUUGGAGGCUGGCCUGGGCGCUCGUUGUUCUGGAAGUCCAAGUGGGUGGAAUUAACCGUGCCAGUUCCAUGGACUGUUACUCUGUCGCUUCUGUCGGUCCUGCUGCACCUCCCCGCUUCUGUCUCCUCACCGCCAGUCUGUCCCCUCCCUCCUGUUCUCACACCCCAACCAAAGGAAACUUUCUGCCCCUAGGAAGGGGCUGGCUUCUUAACUCCGCCUUUAAGAACCUUGGUGCCCUGGCCCGGCCCUGCCGACAGCUCAUCAUGACUGACACAGGGAGGCUGAUGCCCUCCCAGCUCCCCAGGGCCCGAGCGAGGCCCCCACACUCGUCACUCACUCUGUGUUCCUCGCCCCAGGAGGCCUCCCCGGGGACACAAUGGAAAGAAAUGACCUAUUUUCUGGAAGUUCAAAAUAAAACGAAACAUCUGUCUGGA